rnacentral:tRNA from 1 species
GCAGUAUAGCUCAAAUGGAAGAGCUCCUGUCUCCAAAUCAUAAUGUCCUGAGUUCAAACCCCAGUAUCUGCU